rnacentral:rRNA from 1 species
GAUGAACGCUGGCGGCGUGCCUAACACAUGCAAGUCGAACGGAGUUGUCACCAUGAAGUUUUCGGAUGGAAUGGAGGCAACUUAGUGGCGGACGGGUGAGUAACGCGUGGGUAACCUGCCUCAUACUGGGGGAUAACAGCUGGAAACGGCUGCUAAAACCGCAUAAGAUCGCAUCACCGCAUGGUGAAGCGGUUAAAUAUCGAAAGAUAGGUAUGAGAUGGGCCCGCGUCUGAUUAGCUAGUUGGUGAGAUAAGAGCCCACCAAGGCGACGAUCAGUAGCCGGCUUGAGAGAGUGACCGGCCACAUUGGGACUGAGACACGGCCCAAACUCCUACGGGAGGCAGCAGUGGGGAAUAUUGCACAAUGGGGGAAACCCUGAUGCAGCGACGCCGCGUGAGUGAAGAAGUGCUUCGGCAUGUAAAGCUCUAUCAGCAGGGAAGAAGAUGACGGUACCUGACUAAGAAGCCCCGGCUAACUACGU